rnacentral:rRNA from 1 species
CCGGUAGUCCCWGGCCGURAACGAUGGRSACUAGGCGUUAGAGGAGUSUACCCCYUUCASUGCCGUARCUAAWGCAUUAAGUGCCCCCACCUGAGGGAGUACGGUCSGCAAGGCUGAAACUCAAAGGAAUUGACGGGGGGCCCGCACAAGCGGUGGAGCAUGUGGUUUAAUUYGAUGCAACGCGAAAGAACCUUACCGGGGCUUGACAUGCAGGGGACAGGUGUGGAAACACACCCUCCUUCGRRCCCUUGCACAGGUGCUGCAUGGCUGUCGUCAGCUCGUGUCGUGAAAUGUUGGGUUAAGUCCCGCAACGAGCGCAACCCCUGUCCUUAGUUACCAUCAGGUUAUGCUGGGGACUSUAAGGAGACUGCCGGUGACAAACCGGAGGAAGGUGGGGAUGACGUCAAGUCCUCAUGGCCCUUACGCCCCGGGCUACACACGUGCUACAAUGGCCGGUACAAAGGGCAGCAAUACCGCGAGGUGGAGCGAAUCCCAAAAAGCCGGUCUCAGUUCGGAUUGCAGUCUGCAACUCGACUGCAUGAAGCAGGAAUCGCUAGUAAUCGCGCAUCAGAACGGCGCGGUGAAUACGUUCCCGGGCCUUGUACACACCGCCCGUCAAGUCAACCGAGUCGGCUGCACCCCAAGUCGUUGUGCUAACCCGUAAGGGAAGCAGGCGCACAAGGWGKGGUWGGUAAGGGGGAYUAAGUCGUAACAAGGUAACCGU